rnacentral:tRNA from 1 species
ACAGAUGAGUGAAGAAGGAGGCGGUGAUCCAACCCUCGCACCGGCCUGUGGAGCCGGAGGUCGGGGGUUCGAGCCCACCCAGCUGUCCCA